UGGGGAAUUUUGGACAAUGGGCGCAAGCCUGAUCCAGCCAUGCCGCGUGCGGGAAGAAGGCCUUCGGGUUGUAAACCGCUUUUGUCAGGGAAGAAAUCUUCUGAGUUAAUACCUCGGGAGGAUGACGGUACCUGAAGAAUAAGCACCGGCUAACUACGUGCCAGCAGCCGCGGUAAUACGUAGGGUGCAAGCGUUAAUCGGAAUUACUGGGCGUAAAGCGUGCGCAGGCGGUUUUGUAAGACAGAGGUGAAACCCCCGGGCUCAACCUGGGAACUGCCUUUGUGACUGCAAGGCUUGAGUGCGGCAGAGGGGGGAUGGAAUUCCGCGUGUAGCAGUGAAAUGCGUAGAUAUGCGGAGGAACACCGAUGGCGAAGGCAAUCCCCUGGGCCUGCACUGACGCUCAUGCACGAAAGCGUGGGGAGCAAACAGGAUUAGAUACCCUGGUAGUCCACGCCCUAAACGAUGUCAACUGGUUGUUGGGAAGGUUCCUUCUCAGUAACGUAGCUAACGCGUGAAGUUGACCGCCUGGGGAGUACGGCCGCAAGGUUGAAACUCAAAUGAAUUGACGGGGUCAUAGC
rnacentral:rRNA from 1 species